rnacentral:lncRNA from 1 species
GGUUCAAAUAUAACAUCUAACAACAAUAUAGUGAUCUAUUGUGUAUGUGUCGCGUUUGGGCUCAUUUUUAUGAUUGUGUUGAACAUUUGCAAUCGAUGCUGGUCACGUCACAAAGAGAAUAUUAAGAAGUCAAUUGGAAUGGGAACGACAAAGCAUCGCAUACUCUUCUAUAAUAAACAUUAGUUUUUGUUUGCUUGACCAUCACCAAGCUGUGUACAAUGGCUUUUAUGAAAGUGAAUAAUACUGAAUGAGUGGUCAAUAAUAUGGGAAC